rnacentral:rRNA from 1 species
AUGAACGCUGGCGGCGUGCUUAACACAUGCCAGUCGCACGGUGAAGGCGGAGCUUGCUCUGCUGGAUCAGUGGCGAGCGGGUGAGUAACACGUGAGCAAUCUGCCCCUGACUCUGGGAUAAGCGCUGGAAACGGCGUCUAAUACUGGAUACGAGCUGCGAAGGCAUCUUCAGCAGCUGGAAAGAACUUCGGUCAGGGAUGAGCUCGCGGCCUAUCAGCUUGUUGGUGAGGUAACGGCUCACCAAGGCGUCGACGGGUAGCCGGCCUGAGAGGGUGACCGGCCACACUGGGACUGAGACACGGCCCAGACUCCUACGGGAGGCAGCAGUGGGGAAUAUUGCACAAUGGGCGAAAGCCUGAUGCAGCAACGCCGCGUGAGGGACGACGGCCUUCGGGUUGUAAACCUCUUUUAGCAGGGAAGAAGCGAAAGUGACGGUACCUGCAGAAAAAGCGCCGGCUAACUACGUG